rnacentral:rRNA from 1 species
GAGUUUGAUCCUGGCUCAGAUUGAACGCUGGCGGCAUGCCUUACACAUGCAAGUCGAACGGCAGCACGGGAGCUUGCUCCUGGUGGCGAGUGGCGAACGGGUGAGUAAUGCAUCGGAACGUAUCCUGGAGUGGGGGGAUAACGUAGCGAAAGUUACGCUAAUACCGCAUAUUCUGUGAGCAGGAAAGCGGGGGACCUUCGGGCCUCGCGCUCUUGGAGCGGCCGAUGUCGGAUUAGCUAGUUGGUGAGGUAAAGGCUCACCAAGGCGACGAUCCGUAGCAGGUCUGAGAGGAUGAUCUGCCACACUGGAACUGAGACACGGUCCAGACUCCUACGGGAGGCAGCAGUGGGGAAUUUUGGACAAUGGGGGCAACCCUGAUCCAGCCAUGCCGCGUGAGUGAAGAA